CAGUCGCCGCGGUAAUACGAAGGGUGCAAGCGUUAAUCGGAAUUACUGGGCGUAAAGCGUGCGUAGGCGGUGAGUUAAGUCUGCUGUGAAAUCCCCGGGCUCAACCUGGGAAUGGCAGUGGAUACUGGCUCGCUAGAGUGUGUCAGAGGAUGGUGGAAUUCCCGGUGUAGCGGUGAAAUGCGUAGAGAUCGGGAGGAACAUCAGUGGCGAAGGCGGCCAUCUGGGACAACACUGACGCUGAGGCACGAAAGCGUGGGGAGCAUACAGGAUUAGAUACCCCAGUAGUCCCUGUCUCUUAUAC
rnacentral:rRNA from 1 species